rnacentral:rRNA from 1 species
UACGUAGGUCCCGAGCGUUGUCCGGAUUUAUUAGGCGUAAAGCGAGCGCAGGUGGUUUAUUAAGUCUGGUGUAAAAGGCAGUGGCUCAACCAUUGUAUGCAUUGGAAACUGGUAGACUUGAGUGCAGGAGAGGAAAGUGGAAUUCCAUGUGUAGCGGUGAAAUGCGUAGAUAUAUGGAGGAACACCGGUGGCGAAAGCGGCUCUCUGGCCUGUAACUGACACUGAGGCUCGAAAGCGUGGGGAGCAAACAGG